UACGUAGGGGGGCAAGCGUUGUCCGGAAUUAUUGGGCGUAAAGAGCUCGUAGGCGGUCUGUCACGUCGGAUGUGAAAAUCCAGGGCUUAACCCUGGACCUGCAUUCGAUACGGGCAGACUAGAGUUCGGUAGGGGAGACUGGAAUUCCUGGUGUAGCGGUGAAAUGCGCAGAUAUCAGGAGGAACACCGGUGGCGAAGGCGGGUCUCUGGGCCGUAACUGACGCUGAGGAGCGAAAGCGUGGGGAGCAAACAGG
rnacentral:rRNA from 1 species